rnacentral:rRNA from 1 species
UACGGGGGGAGCAAGCGUUGUUCGGAUUUACUGGGCGUAAAGGGCGCGUAGGCGGCACUGCAAGUCAGUUGUGAAAUCUCCGGGCUUAACCCGGAAAGGUCAACUGAUACUGCAGGGCUAGAGUGCAGAAGGGGCAACUGGAAUUCUCGGUGUAGCGGUGAAAUGCGUAGAUAUCGAGAGGAACAUCUGUGGCGAAGGCGGCCAUCUGGACCAGCACUGACACUGAGGCACGAAAGCGUGGGGAGCAAACAGG